rnacentral:lncRNA from 1 species
GUGGUAUAUUGGUAAUUACGCCUAAUUUUUUUUAUAGGAGAAUUGGGUUCGAUUCCCUGCUAGGGUCAAUCCAUUUUAUAAUAAAUAUGAAACAAUUUUGUCAUUUCAGUACAACAGUUAUAAUUAACCUAUACUUUAUUUUAUAUUUUAUCGUCAGAUCAUAUGUUUCAAUGAAAUUAUUAUAUACAUGCCUUUUAACAAGAUAGAUGAAACGUGUUUUUCAGUGGGAGGGGUUUUGAA